rnacentral:rRNA from 1 species
GACGAACGCUGGCGGCGGGCUUAACACAUGCAAGUCGAACGGAAAGGCCCUGCUUUUGUGGGGUUCCCGAGGGGCGGACGGGUGAGGAACACGUGAGUAACCUGCCCUAGACUUUGGGAGAGCUUCAGGAAGCGGGGGCUAAUACCGGAUAGGAGCUCCUGCUGCAGGGUGGGGGGUGGAACGUUUCGGCGGUUGGGGAUGGAUGCGCGGCUUAUCAGCUUGUUGGUGGGGUAGUGGCUUACCAAGGCUUGGACGGGUAGCCGGCCUGAGAGGGUGGACGGGCACAUUGGGCCUGAGAUACGGCCCAGACGCGUACGGGAGGCAGCAGUGGGGAAUCUUGCCCAAUGGGCGGGAGCCUGAUGAAGCAACGCCGCGUUCGUGAUGCCGGCUUUUGGGGUGUAAACAGCUUUAGGCUGAGACGAAGCGGGAGUGACGGUAAUGGGUAAAGAAGCACCGGCUAACUACGUG